CCUACGGGUGGCAGCAGUCGAGAAUCAUUCACAAUGGGGGAAACCCUGAUGGUGCGACGCCGCGUGGGGGAAUGAAGGUCUUCGGAUUGUAAACCCCUGUCAUGUGGGAGCAAAUUAAAAAGAUAGUACCACAAGAGGAAGAGACGGCUAACUCUGUGCCAGCAGCCGCGGUAAUACAGAGGUCUCAAGCGUUGUUCGGAAUCACUGGGCGUAAAGCGUGCGUAGGCUGUUUCGUAAGUCGUGUGUGAAAGGCGCGGGCUCAACCCGCGGACGGCACAUGAUACUGCGAGACUAGAGUAAGGGAGGGGGAACCGGAAUUCUCGGUGUAGCAGUGAAAUGCGUAGAUAUCGAGAGGAACACUCGUUGCGAAGGCGGGUUCCUGGACAUUAACUGACGCUGAGGCACGAAGGCCAGGGGAGCGAAAGGGAUUAGAUACCCGAGUAGUC
rnacentral:rRNA from 1 species